rnacentral:rRNA from 1 species
UACGUAGGGGGCUAGCGUUGUCCGGAAUCAUUGGGCGUAAAGAGCGUGUAGGCGGCCCGGUAAGUCCGCUGUAAAAGUCAAAGGCUCAACCUUUGAAUGUCAGUGGAUACUGCCGGGCUAGAGUCCGGAAGAGGCGAGUGGAACUCCUGGUGUAGCGGUGGAGUGCGCAGAUAUCAGGAAGAACACCAACGGCGAAGGCAGCUCGCUAGGACGGUACUGACGCUGAGACGCGAAAGCGUGGGGAGCGAACAGG